UACGUAGGGUGCAAGCGUUUGUCCGGAAUUAUUGGGCAUAAAGAGCUCGUAGGCGGUUUGUCGCGUCUGCUGUGAAAACGCGAGGCUCAACCUCGCGCCUGCAGUGGGUACGGGCAGACUAGAGUGCGGUAGGGGAGAUUGGAAUUCCUGGUGUAGCGGUGGAAUGCGCAGAUAUCAGGAGGAACACCGAUGGCGAAGGCAGAUCUCUGGGCCGUAACUGACGCUGAGGAGCGAAAGCGUGGGGAGCGAACAGG
rnacentral:rRNA from 1 species